AAUGGUGACUGAACUGCACAGUGC
rnacentral:siRNA from 1 species